rnacentral:misc_RNA from 1 species
GAAAAUUCUUUCCCUUGUUCAUUUUUCAUUUUCUUGGUUUGGCUCUCUCAAAGCAAAACAAACCCUCGUCUCCUUCCAUUACCUGCAAAAUUCUCAGAGCAAAACGCUAACACAGCAAUCCAACAAAUAGCCGUUGCAGAGACACUGAUACUGUCUGGCCGAGAGGAGUUGUUUAUGGAAAUUAUUGAAUCGCUGAGUUGAAUCGGACCAGGGACAGACAGAGAUCUGAGUCUAGUCAAUAGAUGCACUAAUGGGUGCUGCAGGCUCCAAA